rnacentral:rRNA from 1 species
UACGUAGGGUCCAAGCGUUAAUCGGAAUUACUGGGCGUAAAGCGUGCGCAGGCGGUUCUGAAAGUCAGCUGUGAAAGCCCCGGGCUUAACCUGGGAAUGGCGGUUGAAACUACAGGACUAGAAUCUGGCAGAGGGGGGUGGAAUUCCACGUGUAGCAGUGAAAUGCGUAGAGAUGUGGAGGAAUACCGAUGGCGAAGGCAGCCUCCUGGGCCAACACUGACGCUCAUGCACGAAAGCGUGGGGAGCAAACAGG